AUUGAACGCUGGCGGCAGGCUUAACACAUGCAAGUCGAGCGGGGAAAGGUAGCUUGCUACCUGACCUAGCGGCGGACGAGUGAGUAAUGCUUAGGAAUCUGCCUAUUAGUGGGGGACAACAUUUCGAAAGGGAUGCUAAUACCGCAUACGCCCUAAGGGGGAAAGCAGGGGAUCUUCGGAUCUUGCGCUAAUAGAUGAGCCUAAGUCGGAUUAGCUAGUUGGUGGGGUAAAGGCCUACCAAGGCGACGAUCUGUAGCGGGUCUGAGAGGAUGAUCCGCCACACUGGGACUGAGACACGGCCCAGACUCCUACGGGAGGCAGCAGUGGGGAAUAUUGGACAAUGGGGGGAACCCUGAUCCAGCCAUGCCGCGUGUGUGAAGAAGGCCUUUUGGUUGUAAAGCACUUAAGCGAGGAGGAGGCUACCGAGAUUAAUACUCUUGGAUAGUGGACGUUACUCGCAGAAUAAGCACCGGCUAACUCUGUGCCAGCCGCCGCAGUAACAC
rnacentral:rRNA from 1 species